rnacentral:rRNA from 1 species
UACGUAGGGCGCAAGCGUUGUCCGGAAUUACUGGGCGUAAAGAGCUCGUAGGCGGCUUGUCACGUCGGGUGUGAAAGCCCGGGGCUUAACCCCGGGUCUGCAUUCGAUACGGGCUAGCUAGAGUGUGGUAGGGGAGAUCGGAAUUCCUGGUGUAGCGGUGAAAUGCGCAGAUAUCAGGAAGAACACCAAUGGCGAAGGCAGCUCUCUGGGACGGUACUGACGCUGAGACGCGAAAGCGUGGGGAGCGAACAGG